AAACCCGUAACGGGGAGCUUGCCAUUUUGCAGGCUGAGAGUAGACGAAAUGCGUCUUGACCCAUAACCUGAUUUGGAUAAUGCCAACGUAGGGAUAUACUAUACGUGUUUUU
rfam:Clostridiales bacterium 41_21_two_genomes Ley3_66761_scaffold_720, whole genome shotgun sequence.